GAGUUUGAUCCUGGCUCAGGACGAACGCUGGCGGCGUGCUUAACACAUGCAAGUCGAACGGUGAAGGGGAGCUUGCUUCCUGGAUCAGUGGCGAACGGGUGAGUAACACGUGAGCAACCUGCCCUUGACUCUGGGAUAACAGUUGGAAACAGCUGCUAAUACCGGAUAUGACCCCUGUACGCAUGUGUGGGGGUGGAAAGCUUUUACGGUCAAGGAUGGGCUCGCGGCCUAUCAGCUUGUUGGUGAGGUAAUGGCUCACCAAGGCGUCGACGGGUAGCCGGCCUGAGAGGGCGACCGGCCACACUGGGACUGAGAUACGGCCCAGACUCCUACGGGAGGCAGCAGUGGGGAAUAUUGCGCAAUGGGCGAAAGCCUGACCCAGCAACGCCGCGUGCGGGAUGACGGCCUUCGGGUUGUAAACCGCCUUCAGCAGGGACGAAGGGUUACCUUGACGGUACCUGCAGAAGAAGCACCGGCUAACUACGUGCCAGCAGCCGCGGUGAUACGUAGGGUGCGAGCGUUGUCCGGAAUUAUUGGGCGUAAAGAGCUUGUAGGCGGUUUGUUGCGUCGGAAGUGAAAACUCAGGGCUUAACCCUGAGCCUGCUUUCGAUACGGGCAGACUUGAGGGAUGUAGGGGAGAACGGAAUUCCUGGUGGAGCGGUGGAAUGCGCAGAUAUCAGGAGGAACACCAGUGGCGAAGGCGGUUCUCUGGACAUUUCCUGACGCUGAGAAGCGAAAGCGUGGGGAGCAAACAGGCUUAGAUACCCUGGUAGUCCACGCCGUAAACGGUGGGCACUAGGUGUGGGUUCCAUUCCACGGAAUCCGUGCCGAAGCUAACGCAUUAAGUGCCCCGCCUGGGGAGUACGGCCGCAAGGCUAAAACUCAAAGGAAUUGACGGGGGCCCGCACAAGCGGCGGAGCAUGCGGAUUAAUUCGAUGCAACGCGAAGAACCUUACCUGGGUUUGACAUAUGCCGGAAAC
rnacentral:rRNA from 1 species